CUUUAUACUGGCUCAGUGUUCAGUACCUCAGAGAUGAGUCUUUAUACUGGCUCAGUGUUCAGUACCUCAGAGAUGAAGCUUUAUACUGGCUCAGUUUUCAGUACCUCAGAGAUGAAGCUUUAUACUGGCUCAGUUUUCAGUACCUCAGAGAUGAAGCUUUAUACUGGCUCAGUGUUCAGUGCCUCAGAGAUGAAGCUUUAUACUGGCUCAGUGUUCAGUACCUCAAAGAGGAAGCUUUAUACUGGCUCAGUGUUCAGUACCUCAAAGAGGAAGCUUUAUACUGGCUCAGUGUUCAGUGCCUCACUAACUCAGAGAUGAAGCUUUAUACUGGCUCAGUGUUCAGUACCUCAGAGAUGAAGCUUCAUACUGGCUCAGUGUUCAGUACCUCACUAGCUCAGAGAUGAAGCUUUAUACUGGCUCAGUGUUCAGUACCUCAGAGAUGAAGCUUUAUACUGGCUCAGUGUUCAGUACCUCAGAGAGGAAGAUAUAUACAGGGUCACUGCCAGUACCACAUUUACAAUGUGCAGGGGUAAUGGAGUAUUGAGGUAGAUAUGGACAUGUUGUCAAGGAUACUGGAACAUUGAGGUAGAUAGGGACAUAUAUGCAGGGAUACUGGAGUAUUGAGGUAGAUAGGGACAUAUAUGCAGGGAUACUGGAGUAUUGAGGUAGAUAUGGACAUAUAUGCAGGGAUACUGGAGUAUUGAGGUAGAUAGGGACAUAUAUGCAGGGAUACUGGAGUAUUGAGUUAGAUAUGGACAUAUAGGCAGGGAUACUGGAGUAUUGAGGUAGAUAGGGACAUAUAUGCAGGGAUACUGGAGUAUUGAGGUAGAUAUGGACAUAUAGUCAGGGAUACUGGAGUAUUGAGGUAGAUAUGGACAUAUAGGCAGGGAUACUGGAGUAUUGAGGUAGAUAUGGACAUAUAGGCAGGGAUACUGGAGUAUUGAGGUAGAUAUGGACAUAUAGGCAGGGAUACUGGAGUAUAAAGGGAUUUCUUGAAAGUGACUGGUAGCAGAAAAUAAUGACUGGUAUAUAAAUAAUAAUAUUAAUAAUGUUAAUAAUAAUAUUAUUAUGAAUAAUGAUAAUGAUAAUAUGUAAUAAUGAUAAUGACAAUAAUAAUAAUGAUAAUAACACCAAUGAUCAUAAUAAUAAUAAUAUUAUGAAUAAUAAUAAUGAUAAUAUUAUUAAUAAUACAAUAAUAAUAUAAAUAAUAAUAAUGAUAAUAUAUUAAUAAUAAUGCUGACAAUAAUGAUAAUAUAACGAUAAUAAUGAUAAUAUCAAUAAUAAUUAUGAUAAUAAUAAUGAACAUAUAAUGAUAAUAUUAAUAAUAAUUAUGAUAAUAAUAAUAAUGGUAAUAUAACGAUAAUAAUGAUG
ensembl:lncRNA